GCUUAGCCGUAAACCGAGGUAGUUGAAUAACAAAACUAUUCGCCAGAGAACUACAAGCUACUGCUUAAAACUCAAAGGACUUGGCGGUGCCCUAGACCCUCCUAGAGGAGCCUGUUCUAUAAUCGAUAAACCCCGAUACACCUCACCUUUUCUAGCUAUCAGCCUAUAUACCGCCAUCGUCAGCUCACCCCAAUAGGGUAUUAAAGUGAGCAAGAUCAUUAAACCAUAAAAACGUUAGGUCAAGGUGUAGCAUAUGAGAAGGGAAGCAAUGGGCUACAUUUUCUAUAUUAGAAUAUCACGGAUUGUCUACUGAAAUAAAGACAUGAAGGAGGAUUUAGUAGUAAAUUAGGAAUAGAGAGCUUAAUUGAAAUAGGCAAUGGGGUGCGU
rnacentral:rRNA from 1 species